rnacentral:rRNA from 1 species
GGUAAGGCCUUUCGGGGUACACGAGCGGCGAACGGGUGAGUAACACGAUGGGCUGAUCUGCCCUGCACUUCGGGAUAAGCCUGGGAAACUGGGUCUAAUACCGGAUAUGACCUCCUAUCGCAUGGUGGGUGGUGGAAAGAUUUAUCGGUGCAGGAUGGGCCCGCGGCCUAUCAGCUUGUUGGUGGGGUAAUGGCCUACCAAGGCGACGACGGGUAGCCGACCUGAGAGGGUGACCGGCCACACUGGGACUGAGACACGGCCCAGACUCCUACGGGAGGCAGCAGUGGGGAAUAUUGCACAAUGGGCGAAAGCCUGAUGCAGCGACGCCGCGUGAGGGAUGACGGCCUUCGGGUUGUAAACCUCUUUCAGCAGGGACGAAGCGCAAGUGACGGUACCUGCAGAAGAAGCACCGGCUAACUACGUGCCAGCAGCCGCGGUAAUACGUAGGGUGCAAGCGUUGUCCGGAAUUACUGGGCGUAAAGAGUUCAUAGGCGGUUUGUCGCGUCGUUUGUGAAAACCAGCAGCUCAACUGCUGGCUUGCAGGCGAUACGGGCAGACUUGAGUACUGCAGGGGAGACUGGAAUUCCUGGUGUAGCGGUGAAAUGCGCAAAUAUCAUGAGGAACACCGGUGGCGAAGGCGGGUCUCUGGGCAGUAACUGACGCUGAGGAACGAAAGCGUGGGUAGCGAACAGGAUUUAGAAUAACCCC